rnacentral:misc_RNA from 1 species
AGGUGGGGCUGAUGACUGGGGUGAAGUCGUAACAAGGUAUCCGUACCGGAAGGUGCGGAUGGAUCACCUCCUAACAGGGAGACAACACAAUGAUUUUGAUGCCUGAGUAUUUUUAUUCUUAGGCCGAAAUCCUGUCACCUUAGGUCGAUCGGUACCUCAGCUUUGAAGUUAAGAAUCAGCAGCAAUGUUGAUUGCUUGAUGGAGAUUUUCAGUUCCUAAACUUUGUCUAGGUCACACCCCAAAAGGGAUGAGACUCCUGGGCCAUUAGCUCAGGUGGUUAGAGCGCACCCCUGAUAAGGGUGAGGUCCCUGGUUCAAGUCCAGGAUGGCCCAUUCGGUGUUGGGGGUUUAGCUCAGUUGGUAGAGCGCCUGCUUUGCAAGCAGGAUGUCAGGAGUUCGAGUCUCCUAACCUCCACUGACCGAACUUUAUCCCCCCUCCAUUCAAUGGAGUUGAGCUCGAUUGGUGUGUGAUUUAGAUGUGUCCGCUGGAUGACCCCAGCUUCCUGUCAUUCCAAGUUUUAAGUUCAAAGCUUUGAAUUUGGUUGAUAAGAUGCUGGGCUCGGAUCAAAUGAUCAAGUAAUUGAUGAUUUGAUUUGAAGUUCUAGCAGAACCUUGACAACUGCAUAGGUGAAGUCUGGAAAAACAAAGCAUCUUACAGAUGCAUUGUUUUGAGUCUAAUUUUCUGAAAGGAAGAUUAGACCCAGAACAAUGAAAAUUCUUUUGAGCAAGAGCCGAGACUCUUGAAUGUUCUUUGAUUCGUGUCGAGCGAAUCAGAGUUUGAUCUUGUUUUUAGCAAUAAAAACUUGAGAAUCUGCUUUCAACGGCGGUAAGCGUUCAAGAGGUUAAUUGGUCAAGCUACAAAGGGCUCA